GACGAACGCUGGCGGCGUGCUUAACACAUGCAAGUCGAACGGAAAGGCCCCUUUGGGGGUACUCGAGUGGCGCACGGGUGAGUAACACGUGAGCAACCUGCCCUUGACUUCGGGAUAACUUCAGGAAACUGGGGCUAAUACCGGAUAGGAAUCCUUGCUGCAUGGUGGGGGUUGGAAAGCUUCGGCGGUUUUGGAUGGACUCGCGGCUUAUCAGCUUGUUGGUGGGGUAGUGGCUUACCAAGGCUUUGACGGGUAGCCGGCCUGAGAGGGCGACCGGCCACAUUGGGACUGAGAUACGGCCCAGACUCCUACGGGAGGCAGCAGUGGGGAAUAUUGCACAAUGGGCGGAAGCCUGAUGCAGCAACGCCGCGUGCGGGAUGACGGCCUUCGGGUUGUAAACCGCUUUCAGCAGGGGCGAAGCUUGUGGUGACGGUACCUGCAGAAGAAGCACCGGCUAACUACGU
rnacentral:rRNA from 1 species